GAUGAACGCUGGCGGCGUGCCUAAUACAUGCAAGUCGAGCGAACAGAUGAGGAGCUUGCUCCUCUGACGUUAGCGGCGGACGGGUGAGUAACACGUGGAUAACCUACCUAUAAGACUGGGAUAACUUCGGGAAACCGGAGCUAAUACCGGAUAAUAUAUUGAACCGCAUGGUUCAAUAGUGAAAGACGGUUUUGCUGUCACUUAUAGAUGGAUCCGCGCCGCAUUAGCUAGUUGGUAAGGUAACGGCUUACCAAGGCAACGAUGCGUAGCCGACCUGAGAGGGUGAGCGGCCACACUGGAACUGAGACACGGUCCAGACUCCUACGGGAGGCGGCAGUAGGGAAUCUUCCGCAAUGGGCGAAAGCCUGACGGAGCAACGCCGCGUGAGUGAUGAAGGUCUUCGGAUCGUAAAACUCUGUUAUUAGGGAAGAACAAAUGUGUAAGUAACUAUGCACGUCUUGACGGUACCUAAUCAGAAAGCCACGGCUAACUACGUG
rnacentral:rRNA from 1 species